CCAUCCAAAAUGGAGCAUACACGCUUUUAAACACAACAAAAACCACGUUCGGAUCACUAGCAAAUGUGACAUGUGAUGUUGGAUUUGAAUCGAACGUUAUGCAGAUUAUGUGCCAAGCAAAUGCGACAUGGGAAACAGCCAACUGCAAAACGAAAGAUUGUGGUGUCAUACCCGUAGUUCUGAAUGGGGCAUACACGCUUCUAAACCCAUCGAACACCACAUACGGAUCGCUUGCAAAUGUGACAUGUAAUGCUGGAUAUGAUUCGAACGUUAGCCACAUUUUGUGCCAGGCAAAUGCUGCGUGGGGACAUGCACACUGCGUGCCAAAAGACUGUGGUUCCACACCAAUCAUCCUGAAUGGAGAAAACACACU